rnacentral:rRNA from 1 species
CUUAAAAGUCAGCCGGACCCCUACCACGAAAAACGGCCCCUCACUCAACUAAACCAUUCGCUACAUCAAGUAUCAGCGACAGAAAAAUAUCACCCGCGCGACAGCUAAAAGUACCAUAUGGGAACACUGAAAGAAAACUCACAUACCCAAGCACAAAACAGCAGGGCUUCCAACCCGUACCUCUUGCAUCAUGGUUUAACAAGUAUUCCCAGAUGAAGCGCACUUUAACCUGCCCCCCCGAAUCCAGACGAUCUACCCUAAAGCAAUCACCCAGGAUGCACCCUCCUCUGUAGCAAAAGAGCGGGAAGACUUUAAGGUAGCGGUGAAACGCCAAUCGAGCCUGGUGAUAGCUGGUUGUUCAAUAAACGAAUUUAAGUUCGACUCUAGCCGAACCCAAGUGACCCCUUACACCCAUGUAACACCUAGAAGUUAUACAAUUAGGGGACAGCCUAAUUGUAAUAGAAUACAGCCGAAGCUGGUGGAAUAGGACCUCUUUUUUCCCCAGUAGGCCCUAAAGCAGCCACCAAAUAAAACCGCGUCAAAGCAAUAAAUUAAAAAAUCCAACCACUUACCCCGAACCCCCACACAUAACUGAACCACCCUAGUCAAAACUAGGGGUGACACUGUUAAAACUAGUAAUAAGAACCCAUUCUCUCUCGCACAUCCUUACACCGGCAUGGAUCUACCGCCGGUAAUUACCAACCAAAAAUUCUUACCCUCCCCCUGUCACCCCAACACAGGAGUGCCCAAAAGAUUAGGCAAACCGUCACAGAAGGAACUCGGCUAACAUGCCCCACCUGUUUACCAAAAACAUCGCCUUUAGCUAGACAAGUAUUAAAGGUCUCGCCUGCCCAGUGAACCCCCCCCCUUUAAACGGCCGCGGUACUCUAACCGUGCAAAGGUAGCGUAAUCAUUUGCCCCCUAAAUAGGGGCUAGUAUGAACGGCUAAAUGAGGGCCUAACUGUCUCCUGCGACAAGCCAAUGAAACUGAUCUCUCAGUACAAAAGCUGAGAUAGACUCACAAGACGAGAAGACCCUGUGGAGCUUCUUAAACACAACACUAACCCCACCCAACCACCCAUAGUGCUAACUUUUAGUUGGGGCGACUACGGAGAUAACCCAAACCUCCAUGAAGCAGGACCUCCUCCUCCCAAGGCAAACACGCCUAAGAUAAUUAAACCUUUGACCCAGCAUUGCUGAACAACGGACCAAGUUACCCCAGGGAUAACAGCGCAAUCCUCCCCAAGAGUCCCUAUCGCCAGGAGGGUUUACGACCUCGAUGUUGGAUCAGGACACCCAGGCGG